GACGUAGGGCGCGAGCGUUGUCCGGAUUUAUUGGGCGUAAAGAGCUCGUAGGCGGCUUGUCGCGUCGGCCGUGAAAACUUGGGGCUCAACCCCAAGCCUGCGGUCGAUACGGGCAGGCUCGAGUUCGGUAGGGGAGACUGGAAUUCCUGGUGUAGCGGUGAAAUGCGCAGAUAUCAGGAGGAACACCGGUGGCGAAGGCGGGUCUCUGGGCCGAUACUGACGCUGAGGAGCGAAAGCGUGGGGAGCAAACAGG
rnacentral:rRNA from 1 species